GGCCUAACACAUGCAAGUCGCGGGAGAAAAGGGCUUCGGCCCCGAGUAAACCGGCGCACGGGUGAGUAACACGUAGGUAAUCUGCCCUCCGGUGGGGGACAACCGGCCGAAAGGCUGGCUAAUACCGCAUUCGUCGGCGAGGACCUCGGUCCUUGUCGGGAAAGCGGGCCUCUCCAUGGAAGCUCGCGCCGGAGGAGGAGCCUGCGUCCCAUCAGCUAGUUGGUGAGGUAACGGCUCACCAAGGCAUAGGCGGGUAGCUGGUCUGAGAGGAUGAUCAGCCACACUGGGACUGAGACACGGCCCAGACUCCUACGGGAGGCAGCAGUGGGGAAUAUUGGACAAUGGGCGCAAGCCUGAUCCAGCCACGCCGCGUGAGUGAUGAAGGCCUUCGGGUCGUAAAGCUC
rnacentral:rRNA from 1 species